CCGAGACCGCCCCCCUCCCUAGCCGGCGCCUUGGACGGCCCACAGCGCUCCUGUCCCCACCACGGGCCCCCGUCACUCCUUGCACUCUCCCGUUCCCUUGGUAACGGCCAGUGACCUCACCCGGGUGCCCACGGAGACCUCCCUCAGCUAACCCUGCCUUUAGUCCCAAGCCCCGUGCUGGCUCCAGCUUUAAGUGCCGGCACCUUGGACAGAUCCUCGGACCCUUCCCUCUCUGGCCGCCGCCGCCGCAGGUCGAUCACCUCUGCUUCCCACCUUCCCCGAGGGGUGAGGACACUGACCUGGCCGAGUGAAUGCCCCUCGGAGCUUGCCCAAGGCUCCAUGGACUCGCAUUCCUAGCUAGCACUACCUCAGGGCCCUCCUUGGGGCUUUGCUUGCGCAGAAUGGGGAACAUGGGGUGCCAGAGUCCAGAACAGGUGUAUGACCCCAGAGAAGCCACGCCAGAGCCCUGAAACCAGAAUUCUGCCAGACCCCACCCUGCGCCGCCUGUGGCUCUCAGCCAGGGCUGCUCUGCCCUUGUCUCUGGGCCUCCCUGCCACUGGCCUGGACCUCAAGACCUCCUGCUCUCUCUGCUUGUGGGUGACUGAAGGAGCUGCUUUCUGCCUUAGCCCUGGCA